rnacentral:rRNA from 1 species
UUCCCCUACGGGACGCAGCAGUAGGGAAUAUUGCUCAAUGGGGGAAACCCUGAAGCAGCAACGCCGCGUGGAGGAUGAAGGUUUUCGGAUUGUAAACUCCUUUUGUUAGAGAAGAUAAUGACGGUAUCUAACGAAUAAGCACCGGCUAACUCCGUGCCAGCAGCCGCGGUAAUACGGAGGGUGCAAGCGUUACUCGGAAUCACUGGGCGUAAAGAGCGCGUAGGCGGGAUAGCAAGUCAGAUGUGAAAUCCCCGCGCUCAACGUGGGAACUGCCUUUGAAACUGGCAAACUGGAGUGUGGGAGAG